ACGGAAGGCAGCAGUGAGGAAUAUUGGUCAAUGGACGCAAGUCUGAACCAGCCAUGCCGCGUGCAGGAAUAAGGCCCUAUGGGUCGUAAACUGCUUUUGUGGUGGAGCAAUAAGUCGUACGUGUACGGCGAUGAGAGUACAUCACGAAUAAGCAUCGGCUAACUCCGUGCCAGCAGCCGCGGUAAUACGGAGGAUGCAAGCGUUAUCCGGAUUUAUUGGGUUUAAAGGGUGCGUAGGCUGUGGUCCAAGUCAGGGGUGAAAGCCUGGAGCUCAACUCCGGAACUGCCUUUGAUACUGGAUUGCUGGAAUACGGAUGCCGUGGGAGGAAUGAGUAGUGUAGCGGUGAAAUGCAUAGAUAUUACUCAGAACACCGAUUGCGAAGGCAUCUCACGAAUCCGUCAUUGACGCUGAGGCACGAAAGCGUGGGGAUCAAACAGGAUUAGAUACCCUGGUA
rnacentral:rRNA from 1 species